ensembl:lncRNA
GGUUUAGUGGAGGUUUGGUGGAGAUUUAGUGGAGGUUUAGUGGAGGUUUAGUGGAGGUUUAGUGGAGGUUUAGUGGGGAUUUAGUGGAGGUUUAGUGGAGGUUUAGUGGAGGUUUAGUGGAGGUUUAGUAUAGGUUUAGUGGAGAUUUAGUGGAGGUUUAGUGGAGGUUUAGUGGAGGUUUAGUGGAGAUUUAGUGGAGGUUUUGUGGAGGUUUAGUGGAGGUUUAGUGGAGGUUCAGUGGAGGUUUAGUGGAGGUUUAGUGGAGGUUUAGUGGAGGUUUAGUGGAGAUUGAAAGACAGUGGAGAUUUAGUGGAGGUUUAGUGGAGGUUUAGUGGAGGUUCAGUGGAGGUUUAGUGGAGGUUUAGUGGAGGUUUAGUUGAAGUUUAG